GGGAAUUUCCAGAUCAGUAUGUUGUUGGGCCUACUUAUGGAUCCUGUGGUUUGUGCUUGGAGAUCAGUUUGCUUGGAUGUGUCUGUGAGACUAAUAGGUUCAUAUGUACUGGUCAUAACGAUCCGUGAAUGUGUUGGAUCUUACUUUGGCACCCUAUCUUGAAAGUUUCAUCGAUGAAAUUUUAUCCUUGCUAUCAGUCUCUCAAGAACUCUACUGCUGAAAAGAAAACAUGGAAGCUUAGUUUGCGGCACUGCUUA
rnacentral:misc_RNA from 1 species